CCAGAUAUUGUUAUUUUUAUUAUUAUUAUUAUAUGAAAACUCGCAGAGUAUUUCGCUGGGUAUGAUGGAAGGUGUCGGCUGUCCACAGCCAACAGA